GGAUGAUAGAAAAUAACACCUUACUAUUUUGCCAACAGGUGAAAUUCACGCCCCGAUUGUCUUCAUAUUUUUAUGUCAUUUUGUCAUUUUCUUAAUGUUUUAUUCAUGUGGCUACAGUGACAAAAUAACCUGUUAUAGUUUUUAAACAUUUACAGACUGUGAGAACAUAUAAAUAAUUGAACUUUGAUUAAUCUCGAUUAUAAUGUUAUAGUUUUAACUUACAUUCAUCAACAUGGAUAAUACAAAAGUCAG
rnacentral:lncRNA from 1 species